UGUCCAGACUCCUACGGGAGGCAGCAGUGGGGAAUAUUGGGCAAUGGAGGCAACUCUGACCCAGCAAUGCCGCGUGAGUGAUGAAGGUAAUUUUAUUGUAAAGCUCUUUUCUUUGGAACGAAUAAAUGACGGUACCAAAGGAAUAAGCCCCGGCUAACUACGUGCCAGCAGCCGCGGUCAUACGUAGGAUCCGAGCAUUAUCCGGAGUGACUGGGUGUAAAGAGUUGCGUAGGUGGCAUAAUAAGUAGCUAGUGAAAUCUGGUGGCUCAACCAUUCAGACUAUUAGCUAAACUGUUAAGCUCGAGACCGUUAGGGGUAACUGGAAUUUCUAGUGUAGGAGUGAAAUCCGUAGAUAUUAGAAGGAACACCAAUAGCGUAGGCAGGUUACUGGGACGGUUCUGACACUAAGGCACGAAAGCGUAGGGAGCAAACGGGAUUAGAUACCCCCGUA
rnacentral:rRNA from 1 species